rnacentral:tRNA from 1 species
GGGGGUUUAGCUCAGGUGGUAGAGCGCCUGCUUUGCAAGCAGGAAGUCAGCGGUUCAAAUCCGCUAACUUCCA